rnacentral:rRNA from 1 species
UUUAAAGAGAGUUUGAUCCUGGCUCAGGACGAACGCUGGCGGCGUGCCUAAUACAUGCAAGUCGAACGAACGGAGGAAGAGCUUGCUCUUCCAAAGUUAGUGGCGGACGGGUGAGUAACACGUGGGCAACCUGCCUGUAAGUUGGGGAUAACUCCGGGAAACCGGGGCUAAUACCGAAUGAUAAAGUGUGGCGCAUGCCACGCUUUUGAAAGAUGGUUUCGGCUAUCGCUUACAGAUGGGCCCGCGGUGCAUUAGCUAGUUGGUAGGGUAAUGGCCUACCAAGGCAACGAUGCAUAGCCGACCUGAGAGGGUGAUCGGCCACACUGGGACUGAGACACGGCCCAGACUCCUACGGGAGGCAGCAGUAGGGAAUCUUCCGCAAUGGACG